rfam:Tupaia chinensis contig1437, whole genome shotgun sequence.
AUACUUACAAUGGCACAGGAAACACCAUGAUCACAUAGGUGGUUUUCCCAGGGCAAGGCCCACCCAUUGCACUGCGGGUGUGCUGACCUCUGCAAUUUCCUCAAAUGCAGGAAACUCAUCCACACGAUUUGUGGUAGUGGAAGCCUGUGUCCAUGCUCUCUCCUG